rnacentral:rRNA from 1 species
UACGAAGGGUGCAAGCGUUAAUCGGAAUUACUGGGCGUAAAGCGCGCGUAGGUGGUUCAGUAAGUUGGAUGUGAAAUCCCCGGGCUCAACCUGGGAACUGCAUCCAAAACUGCAGAGCUAGAGUACGGUAGAGGGUGGUGGAAUUUCCUGUGUAGCGGUGAAAUGCGUAGAUAUAGGAAGGAACACCAGUGGCGAAGGCGACCACCUGGACUGAUACUGACACUGAGGUGCGAAAGCGUGGGGAGCAAACAGG